ensembl:snoRNA SNORD82 Small nucleolar RNA SNORD82
UGCACACAUGAUGAACAUUUAGGGACUUAAUACUGAAACUAUUUGCUGAUUUGUUUGGUCUGAUGUGC